ensembl:lncRNA
GGGGCUGUCCAGCUUAAAGAAAGAGGAGUGAAAUCAGAUUUGCUAUCUGACAGACUUCUUGCUGGUGGUGGUUGGAAGGACUUUGCAAGUCUCAUUUGCAGUUUUCCCACUGUUUCCCUGAACAUCUGCAAGACAGCCCAUCUGGGUUGACACAGUGUGAGAUGAGGCAGACAGGCAUUGCCAACAAAGGGCUCCUACUGC